rnacentral:misc_RNA from 1 species
UAACCCUCAAGCUCAGCUUGGUGUUGGGGCCUGCCUAUUAGCAGCCCUUAAAAUCAGUGGCGGUGCCAUCUGGCUCUAAGCGUAGUAAUUCUUCUCGCUAUAGGGACCUGGUGAACGCUUGCCAAUAACCCAAUAUUUUUUAUG